GCCUGCAGUACCUCACAUGUCCGCUAGAGGCUGACGCCGACAAAACUACACUUCGAUUGGACGCCUAAACGUCUCUGUAAAUUAGCAGUCUUUAAGGAAACAGGGCCGAGCAUCCAGCAGGAAGGGAUUCCUUCAAGCUCAGACAUCAACAACAUCCCGAAUAUUAAAGCCAUAGAGUAAAGUCAGAGGAAUGGGAGCGAGGAUGGAAAUUAUGCCAGACUUACCCUCUGCCAAGCUAUUGAUUGCAGAGGAAAAGAUACCCGGGACGUCUUUUCGUCACAGGAUGACCAAUCACCAUCUUCACUUUCAGAAGUUUCCGUAAAACCUAAAAUAGAGACGAGGAAUACUACAGUGUUUUCAUGUGCAAGACUGGACGUCUUAGUUUCCCUUUUCCUCCUUUGACUCAU